UACGGUUCGGUCUCUCGUUAUGGUCCGCGAAUCAGUUGCCAGCGCAAGGGGUUAAGAGUUGGAAAUGAAUAACAUUGAUAUAACUGUGUUUCUGAGAUUAAUGCUUGUCUCCAAGCUGAAGAUAUUCUGAAUUCUCGCGGCGACAGAAAGCGUACCUGCUUGGCACAGAGCCACUUUUAUCCUGUCCAGACGAAGCAGAACCGGCAGUGCUUCUCCCACGUCUUCGUCUCCGUGUUUUCUUGCGCGUGUAACUACUAAGAAGAACUCCUUUCCUCGCGUCUAACUUCUUCUGCUUCUCUUUGGCAAGCGUCUUCACAUUGAUCUUUGUCGGGUCGAAACUAAACGUCGAGUCCUCGCGAUGGUCGGUUAAGUCUUUCCUUCGUUCCUGUUGCAAGAGGCACGAAAGUCGAAACUCAGCGCGACGACAGCGAGCAUCAAGUUGAUCAGGUAAAACGAGCCGAAAAACACGACCACCGUGAAGAACGAGACGCUGAUAGGUCCGCACGCCGACAAUACCUAAGAACCGACCGAAGAUUAUACCUUUUCACCUCAAACACUUGUUGUCGCGAAGACGUCACAGGCCGCUUGUUGGCAAAAGCAGUCACUCGUGCGGAAAGAAGGGAAAAUUGGCAAACCUACCUUAUUGUAGACGUCUUCCCAAUAAUCCAGAGUAAUCAACUGAAACGUGGUGAGCAUCGACCACAGAAAAUUGUCGAAAUUUGUAUACCCGUGGUUUGGAUUCGGGCCAACGCAAAGGCAGAUGUAACUUUCGUUGCAGUGUCUGAAACACAGGAAAGGGAUUCCUCGCAGUUAGAAUCAAGCUGUCAGCCGGAGCAGCCGCGCGCAAUAACGAACCAAGUUUGGCUAACCUGGCGCCAGUCGCGUUACCGCAAAUUAUUGGCUCUUCGUCUUCGUCGAAUGCCCAGUUGGACGAGUUCCAAGUCCACCUGUGGACGAUACAAGAUAUCGGAAAAAUUCUACUUACAACUUUAAACAUGGAUUUAAAAAGAAAAAGAAAGACGAUAUUAAUGCGGUACUUGACACCGGGAGGAUCUUCAGAGAGAUUCACGUGUCUCUAAAUAUCGAUCGCCGCUCAAAUGAUUCUCAUUUAAAUUGCUGAAAACUCCGGCUAGAUUACAAUACCAUCUGUUAUCUGCAAUGCCACGUACUAAUUAAUUUCUUGGCGCAUGCUUCCAAGCUUAUCUUUACCAGGCAUGAUCGAAACAGUUUUGAGAGCUCUCAACACUCGGAAUGUCCUCAACCCAGCUAAAUUUCCUACUUCCAUCCCUAUGG